rnacentral:rRNA from 1 species
UAGGAUUCCCUCAGUAGCUGCGAGCGAACAGGGAAAAGCCCAGCACCGAAUCCCGCGGCCGAUACCGGCCGCCGGGAAAUGUGGUGUUAGGGAGGAUCCGUUUAUCCCGAGGUCGUGCGACGCGUCCAAGUCCAUCUUGAACGGGGCCACAGCCCAUAGAGGGUGCCAGGCCCGUAGUGACUGUUGCCGAUCGCGGGAGGAUCUCUCCUCAGAGUCGGGUUGCUUGAGAGUGCAGCCCUAAGUGGGUGGUAAACUCCAUCUAAGGCUAAAUAUGACCACGAGACCGAUAGCGAACAAGUACCGUGAGGGAAAGUUGAAAAGCACUUUGAAGAGAGAGUUCAAGAGUACGUGAAACCGUUCAGGGGUAAACCUGAGAAACCCGAAAGUUCGAAUGGGGAAAUUCAUUCGCGUUUCGGUUGCCAGCGAUGAGUAGUUGCUUGACUGAUGGCGUUCGCGUCGUUAGCUACUUCUGUUUUUCGUUCUGGUAUCGAACGCGUGCACUUUUCCCCUUGUAGGACGUCGCGAUCCGUUGGGUGUCGGUCUAAGGCCCACGGUGGAGUCCACGUUGACGUUUCGGCGUUUUGCGUGAACCCGUGGUGUCCCGGUCGACUCGCUCGACGGUAUAAAGAUGGUGUGGGGCCGCUAUUCAGUUAGCGUUCGGCCCAUGGCAAGCGCGCUCGGUGUUACGUGGAGAUCGGACCUAGUGCCGGUCCUACGCCCGAGUGACUGUUGGCUGUGGUGUUCUCGAACAGACCUCUUUGAAACACCGAUCUGCGACGCUAUAGCUUUGGGUACUUUCAGGACCCGUCUUGAAACACGGACCAAGGAGUCUAGCAUGUGCGCGAGUCAUUGGGACAUAACUAAACCUAAAGGCGUAAUGAAAGUAAAGAUCCGCCUUGCGUGGAUCGAGGGAAGAUGGGCGGUUUACCUUUAAAGUGGCCGUUCCGCAUUCCCGGGGCGUCUCAUUCUCAUUGCGAGAAGAGGCGCACCAAGAGCGUACACGCUGGGACCCGAAAGAUGGUGAACUAUGCCUGGUCAGGACGAAGUCAGGGGAAACCCUGAUGGAGGUCCGUAGCGAUUCUGACGUGCAAAUCGAUCGUCGGAACUGGGUAUAGGGGCGAAAGACUAAUCGAACCAUCUAGUAGCUGGUUCCCUCCGAAGUUUCCCUCAGGAUAGCUGGCGCUCGUUGCGUACGAGUUUCAUCCGGUAAAGCGAAUGAUUAGAGGCAUUGGGGUCGAAACGACCUCAACCUAUUCUCAAACUUUAAAUGGGUGAGAUCUCCGGCUUGCUCGAACAUGAAGCCGUGAGACUCGAAUCAGAGUGCCAAGUGGGCCAUUUUUG